CCCACAGCCCGUCGUUUCUCCCAACCUCUCCCCUCGCUGGAACCAGAUCGGAUCGAGGGUGCCACCAGAUCGAGGGCUGCACCGCCGAGGGCUCCACCGGAUCGAGAGCUGCGCCGCCGGGGGGCUCCACCGGAUCGAGGGCACCACGGAUUGGAUCGAGGGCGCCACCGGACGAAGCAACGACGGAGUCUCUUGACAUCGGCGGAGGCUCGCUCCUGACCUCGACGGCUCCCUCCUCCAACCGCGACGUCGACUCCCUCCUCCUCCUUCAUGGCUCGCUGCUGACCUCGACGAAGGCUCCCUCCUCCAACCGCGACGUUACAUUGUCAUAGGUUCAAUAUGACGCAAAAUAGGGCUAAGUGGACAUCAAGAUAUGAGAAAGGUCUUGUCGAGAUACUUAGAGAGUACAAUCUAUCUCAUUAUCGUGGCCAAAAUGGGUGGACUACUGAAGGAUGGAAUCAAGUUGUUAAAUAAUUGAACAAUUUAUAUCCAGAGGCAAGAUUUACCAAGGAUCAGGUCCAGGAUAAGGAAGCUCAACUGAAGAAGCACUACAAAAAUAUCAAGUCCAUAGUCAACCAUUCUGGAAUAUCGUGGAAUGAUAUUGCAUGUGUGAUUAACACAACACCUCAAAAAUGGGAGGAGAUCAUUGCGGAGGAUUCAAAGCUCAAAAUGUAUGAAGGCAAAAGUUUCCCCUUGUAUGAGGCAUUGGGUGUGCUCUAUGAAGGGCACAAUGCUCAAGAAAGGCAUUGUCUCACAUCAAGGAAGCCUCCGACUAUCACAAAAUCAGGUAGCAACUUUGGAGCAAAGGAGAAGAUGGUUGCCAGCACCAGCAAGAGAAAUACAAGAGAUCGAAGCGAUGACACCAUGAGGACUCCUUCGAUAAUUGACAUCAAUUAUGUUCCUGCAUGUGAUGAUGCUGAUGGAUAUGCUGAAAGAGAAAACACUGUCCGUGACGAGGAAGAAUUUGGCAGUGAAGAUGCUGAUGGAGAUCAUCCACAAAUAAGUAAAUCAAGUGCCAAAGGAAGGAAACCCAAAAAACAGAAAAGUGCCACAUCUGUACAACGCCUUGAAGAUUCAAUGACGGUGUAUGUGAAUUUCAAGAAAGAGCAAGCUACUAAGAAGGAGAGAGUGUCACAACAAGGAAAACAACCCUCAAUUACAGAAUGCUUGGAAAUCUUGAAUGACAUGGAAGAUGUGCCCGACGAGGUGAAAAUCUUUGCCUCUGAUGUUUUCAAAGAUGCAGCAAACCGUGAGAUUUUCCUGGGUUACAACCCAAGACUGCGGGGGUAUGUGGUUAAAGAAGGAAGUCGAUAAGAUCAGUCCUCAGCCUCCUCCUUCUCGGUUUUCACCUGGCGAUAUUCCUUCAAUCAAUCUGGUGCUCUGAUCAUAGGUAUUGCCCUUGCUCCCUCCCCUCUCAAAGAUUCAUUUCAACAAACAAGAGUAGUACCAUGCAUACAGUUCCUUUAAUAAUAAUAGUUGUGCUGCCUGAUUGUUAAUCCUGGAUUGCAUUUUUUUUUCAAACAAGGUAUAUCCUGGGUUGUAUUCUUAUUCUUCUUCUUUUAUUUUCCGUUGAGUUGGCAUCCUGGGUUAUAUUGAAAUACUACUACUUGGCCGAAAUGAUCAAUGUUGGCGUUAUAAUGUCCUGCCCGUCGUUGAGGUUUUUUGACAGUGAAUGAGGUUGGAUUGGUCUUGCCAGAUGCUUGUUUGAAUCCUGUACAUUUUGAAAUGCAUCUAUGUUCAUAUUUGCCAUACGGUUUUGUGGUACGAUAAAUUGUGAUAUCAGAUUGUGACACUAUAAUCUGUUAUUUGCACAUGAAGCUACUCCAAAGACUGCCAAAACUUUGAGUCAGAUCUUACGGAGGGAGUAUUUUUCUUCUGCCCUGAAGCUGCUUCACUACUUGAACAAUUGCCGAGGAUUAAUCUUCCUAAAAUACUUUAUGUCUAAAUGAACAAUGGUUGAACAAUUACGAGUCCUAACUUUGGUUAUGUAGCAGCAGGCGAGAUGAGACAAGCCUGCUUCAAUAAAUUUGUAAUUUAAACUGUUGAUUUUGAGCACUAUGAGUUAUCAAAACUAUGUUCAAAUGGAUGAAUGGAAAACAUUAUCUUUUUUUUA